GAUGAACGCUGGCGGCGUGCCUAAUACAUGCAAGUCGAGCGGCAGCGCGAGUAGUUUACUACUUGGCGGCGAGCGGCGGACGGCUGAGUAACGCGUAGGAACGUACCCCAAACUGAGGGAUAACUGCUCGAAAGAGUAGCUAAUACCGCAUGUGCUCUAAGGAGUAAAGCUUCGGCGGUUUGGGAACGGCCUGCGUACGAUUAGAUUGUUGGUGAGGUAAUGGCUCACCAAGUCGACGAUCGUUAGCUGGUCUGAGAGGAUGAUCAGCCAGACUGGGACUGAGAACGGCCCAGACUCCUACGGGAGGCAGCAGUAGGGAAUUUUCCACAAUGGACGAAAGUCUGAUGGAGCAACGCCGCGUGCAGGAUGAAUGCCUUCGGGUUGUAAACUGCUUUUAUAUGUGACGAAUAUGACGGUAGCAUAUGAAUAAGGAUCGGCUAACUCCGUG
rnacentral:rRNA from 1 species